UCAGUUCGCGCCAAGCUGCGCUGGGGAGAGGGUGUUUGUGGAGAAUCCGGAGCCCAGGAGCUGCUGUGUUUAAAAUGUUCUUGUUUUGAACAGGAAUAAAAUUAUCCUGAAUCCUGAUUCCGGUGUGGUUCUGACUUCCUGUUACCAACC